rnacentral:rRNA from 1 species
AGUGAACGCNGGCGGCGUGCCUAAUACAGGCAAGUCGAACGGACAAGUAAGAGCUUGCUCUUAUGAGUUAGUGGCGCACGGGUGAGUAAUGUAUAGCUAAUCUGCCCUACACUAGAGGACAACAGUUGAAAACGGCUGCUAAUACUCUAUACACCUCUCUAGCAUAAGUUAGAUAGGGAAAGUUUUUCGGUGUAGGAUGAGGCUAUAUUGUAUCAGCUAGUUGGUGAGGUAAUGGCUCACCAAGGCUAUGACGCAUAACUGGUCUGAGAGGAUGAUCAGUCACACUGGAACUGAGACACGGUCCAGACUCCUACGGGAGGCAGCAGUAGGGAAUAUUGCUCAAUGGGGGAAACCCUGAAGCAGCAACGCCGCGUGGAGGAUGACACUUUUCGGAGCGUAAACUCCUUUUGUUAGGGAAGAAUAANGA